rnacentral:lncRNA from 1 species
UGUUUGAUGGUGCAACAUAGCUGAACUAGGGAAAAAGCUUAGCCAUUAUUGAAAAGUUAUAAAAUCUAAGUAGAAACUAAAAUUGGUCUGACAUAUCCUGAAUUUAUAAAUUUUGUAACAUGUUGAUCAUAAGUAUGGGAUGUGAGUGGAUAAGCUUUAAAAGCCACCAUAAAGAAGCCUUAGCCCCUGAACAGACAUUCGGUUGGAUUGUUAAAAGUCAACAAGCUAUUCAUUAAUGUCUUUGUAAUACAGGCAUUCAAGUGUCACGCACCUUGUCAUAACAUUAUAUAGAAUUGGUCCUAAUCUAGGUAUUCUAACUUUGGAGAGAUUUACUUUCCACUAUUUUUUUAAUUUCAGAUUUCUAUUUUAAUCCUAGGGGUCAAAUCUUCACUAUUUUGUGAUUAGUAUUGUUUUAGUAGUUCUCUUUAGAGUAAGCCUGCUCAACACGUUCAGAGGGAAGUUAGGAGAGAAGGGUUUGGGGGAAAUGGAGUCCCGUUCUCUGGCUUGUGAGGAAGGUGGAUACCUAUGAGUCUGCGGCAAGCUCUCUAAUAGUUUGGGGUCUUAUUUUUAACGAGAUCCUGAGUCAUAUAUUAACCAGGAUUCUACAAGUCCUACUUAUAGACACCCUACUUUUGGCACCUCACUGAGAACUCAGAAGUGUCCAUACAUGACAUGCUCCAGCAUUAUCAAAUAUGAACCCCCAAAAAGGCCACGCACAAUCAAUGGGUAUUCAUGCAUGCCUUACACACCCUGACUAAAACAGUCUUGCAUGGCACCCAUGCUUACAUUUCAAAAUUUGGCCAAAUUUGUCUCUGAUAAACCAUAUAAAUUUGGAUCCGUACCAGAGCAAUCUAAGAUACUUAGCGCACUCGAGAAAACUAAACAUGAGUAAUUUAAAGAGGCCUU